rnacentral:rRNA from 1 species
UACGGAGGGUGCAAGCGUUAUCCGGAUUCACUGGGUUUAAAGGGUGCGUAGGCGGGUUGGUAAGUCCGUGGUGAAAUCUCCAAGCUUAACUUGGAAACUGCCGUGGAUACUAUCAAUCUUGAAUAUAGUGGAGGUGAGCGGAAUAUGUCAUGUAGCGGUGAAAUGACUUAGAUAUGACAUAGAACACCCAUUGCGAAGGCAGCUCGCUACACUAUUAUUGACGCUGAGGCACGAAAGCGUGGGGAUCAAACAGG